rnacentral:tRNA from 1 species
CGGCGGAUGGGACGCGGCGUCCCCGCGUCCGAUCGAGGCGCUCGACCUGUGGUUCGGUGCCCGCACCCGGCGC